rnacentral:lncRNA from 1 species
AUUUUAUAUGAUGGACAAGGUCGAGGUAAUUGUCUUUCUUUAUGCUUGUAAGAUAUUUGUUAAGUUUCAAAAAUAAUUAUAUUUAUCUUUUAUUUUCAUGUUGUAUACUUAGAAGUCAACUAAAAAAGCUUGUAAGAGUUCUAAACGUCGAAGUACCGCAAUUGCUGUAGCAAUUCGAGAGACCAAUAAAUGACUAAGAGUUUCUAGUGAAGCAGAAAAUACUAUAUCUACUCCAAUUAUUGAUGAGCAAAACCCAUCGCCGUCAAAUGCAAGUACUCCGAAGAAGAAAAGAGGCCCAACCCAAGUGAAAAUGGGUCUUGAACAUAAUUAUAAGAAAAGGAGCUUGAAUUCAAUGAAUUUGGGCAAGUAGUUGGCAGUAACUCCGAUAAAUUUGCUAGCAUUGUUGGAGCCAUGGUACGAGAACAUGUACCUAUUACAAUUAAAGACUGGCAUUCAGUGGAUGAAAAGAAAAGAAAGGAACUUUGGACUUUCAUACAGGUACAUUUCUUAACUAACUUUUUACGAUUAUUUAUUGUAUCAUUUUCCUUCUUAUUGACACCAUUCUUUUAAGUUUUAAAAUAUAUUUGUGAACAAAUGCAACAAAGGUUCGAUGUCAGUGAUUGUCAUAAAAAAAUGACAUUUUAAUGUAUGGGAAAAUAUUGGAGGACAUUCAAAGCAAGAUUGAG